rnacentral:rRNA from 1 species
AGGACGAACGCUGGCGGCGUGCCUAAUACAUGCAAGUCGAGCGAAUGACGAGGAGCUUGCUCCUCUGAUUUAGCGGCGGACGGGUGAGUAACACGUGGGCAACCUGCCCUGUAGACUGGGAUAACUUCGGGAAACCGGAGCUAAUACCGGAUAAUACAUUUCACCUCAUGGUGAAAUGUUGAAAGGCGCUUCGGCGUCACUACAGGAUGGGCCCGCGGUGCAUUAGCUAGUUGGUGGGGUAACGGCCUACCAAGGCAACGAUGCAUAGCCGACCUGAGAGGGUGAUCGGCCACAUUGAGACUGAGACACGGCCCAAACUCCUACGGGAGGCAGCAGUAGGGAAUCUUCCACAAUGGACGAAAGUCUGAUGGAGCAACGCCGCCGUGAGUGAUGAAGGUUUUCGGAUCGUAAAACUCUGUUGUAAGGGAAGAACAAGUACGUUAGGAAAUGAACGUACCUUGACGGUGCCUUAUUAGAAAGCCACGGCUAACUACGUGCCAGCCGCGGC